rnacentral:lncRNA from 1 species
UUGGCGAUACUUGAUCUGAGCCAUAUGCAGACUUGUUAUCUUGUAGUUAUUUACAUGCAAUUUUAACUCUAUGCUUAUUGCCAUGAAUGAAAAUAUGGAUUGGUUUCCAUUUCAGUUUGCUUCUUGCUCAUGAAAUUUCAGAAUGCUCGAUGCCACGCCUUUCCCCAAGUCUCAAUUUUGUCAUCUCAAAGGUUUAAAAAUAUUGUAAAACUCAAUGUAAUUCCAC